rnacentral:rRNA from 1 species
AUACAAGGGACUGCUUUAAUAGUGGUCCACUUGAAUGAGAGAGUUUCAAACGUACUCUUGAGUAACAAUUAGAGGGCAAGUCUGGUGCCAGCAGCCGCGGUAAUUCCAGCUCUAAUAGCGUAUAUUAAUAUUGUUGUAGUUAAAAAGCUCGUAGUUGGAUUCUGGUGAUUGGUUUAUGGCUAGUUGUUAUUUCGCAGUAAUGUGAGUGACAAUUGGUUGCCAGUCAUCAUUUAUGAUUACAAUUUGUCACUGUCAUUCAUUUGAUGGUGAUUGAACAAGUUGUAAUUAGAUUACUUUGAGUAAAUUAGAGUGUUUAAAGCAAACCGUAUUUUAAUGGUUGGUAUCUUUGCUGUUUGUAGCAAUACAUUCAGUGAUGAUAUGAUGAUGAAUAGAUUAGCAUGGGAUAAUAGAAUAGGACUCGCAAGCUAUUCGUUGGUGUUGGGCUUUGGUGAGUAAUGGUUAAUAGGAGUGGUCGGGGGUACUUGUAUUUCAUAGCUAGAGGUGAAAUUCUUGGAUUUAUGAAAGACAAACUAGAGCGAAAGCAUUUGCCAAGCACAUAUCCAUUAAUCAAGAACGAAAGUCAGGGGAUCGAAGACGAUCAGAUACCGUCGUAGUCUUGACCAUAAACGAUGCCGACCAGGGAUCCGGUGAGAUGUCACAUAUUUACUAUGUGCACUUGCUGGGCACCUUGUGAGAAAUCAUAAGUAAUUGGGUUUUAGGGGGAGUAUGGUCGCAAGGCUGAAACUUAAAGGAAUUGACGGAGGGGCACCACCAGGAGUGGAGCCUGCGGCUUAAUUUGACCCAACACGGGGAAACUUACCAGGUCCAGACAUGGGAAGGAUUGACAGAUUGAUAGCUCUUUCUUGAUUCUAUGGGUGGUGGUGCAUGGCCGUUCUUAGUUGGUGGUUUGCAUUGUCUGGUCAAUUCCGAUAACGAACGAGACCUCUGCCUGCUAACUAGUUUCAUUAAUGUCCUCUGCUUUAAUUCAGUUAAUUAGCAAUAAUCAGUUGGAUGGUGGUGAUCAACAUUGGUGUAAACUUCUUAGAGGGACUGUUUACGAUUAGUAAAAGUAAGUUUGAGGCAAUAACAGGUCCGUGAUGCCCUUCGAUGUUCUGGGCCGCACGCGCGCUACACUGACAGACUCACCAAGUUAGUUCCAUUAGGGACAUCCCCAAUCGAUAGGUUGGGGUAAUCUCGAGUGUCUGUCGUGAUGGGGAUAGAUGAUUGCAAUUAUUCAUCUUGAACGAGGAAUUCCUAGUAAGCGUCAGUCAUCAACUGGCGUUGAUUUAGUCCCUGCCCCUUGCACACACCGCCCGUCGCUCCUACCGAUUGGAUGGUCCGGUGAAAUCUUUGGAU